AUUUGAUGAUGGGGAUAGCUUACACAUAGUUUCUUAAAUCUCUCCCAAUACUCAUAUGAACUCUCUCUAUUGUAUUGCCAGAUGCCACAAAUUUCUUUUCUUAUGUU